rnacentral:lncRNA from 1 species
AUCAAUUUAUAAUUUAUGUAUAUCGACUAGAAAUGUAAAUAUUAAAUCUUGUUGGCUUGUGUAACUUGAACUAAAAUGGCCAAAAGGAAACAAUUAUGGAGGAAACUCAGGAAAAUUAACAGUAGAAUUAACGGGGCACGAGAAAUUCUUGGAGACUUCAAGAAAGGUGGAAUACCAAAUGUUCUCAGUAAGAACACGCAUUUUAUUACAUGCAUGGAUGAAUGUUGAAUGUCAGACUUGGGAUUCACAUGGAAUCCAUUCACUUGGUGUAAUAAGAGGAGGAAGAGGAAGAGAAUCAGUAAACGGCUGGACAAUGUCCUUAUUAAUAAUGACUGGCGGUAUGAUAACCAAAUCGAUAGAGUCGACCACCUUGCAAAGACAUGAUCAGACCAUAGUUUGAUCACCUUCAAGUUUGGAAAUGAGAGGAUAGAGGCAAUUAAGUACUUCAGAUUCCUAAAUUUCUGAACCUCUCAUGCUGGCUAUAUGUAGUUGAUCAGGAAUAUUUGGAAUCAAGAAAUACAGGGAAAUACGCAAUGGAUUCUCCAACAAAAACUAAAAUCCCUUUGUAGGGAACUUAGUAGGUGGUCGAGGGAAUCAAUUGGGGAUGUAUUUGCGACAGUGAAACAACUAGAAGCAAAAAUGAAUGGACUAGAGCAAGAGUAUGAGUCUAAUAGCUCAAACUUUAAUCGACAGAACCUCUACAAAGGGAAAGCUGAGUGCACAAACUGGCUCAAAAUGUAAGAAUCAAUCCUCAGACAAAAU